rnacentral:rRNA from 1 species
AGCAGCCGCGGUAAUUCCAGCUCCAAUAGCGUAUAUUAAAGUUGUUGCAGUUAAAAAGCUCGUAGUUGAAUUUCGGGGUUCUUCCGUUGGUCGGGCUAUCCAGUCUGUACUAGCGUGUAGAAUUCCUACCUUCUGGGGAACCAUCAUGUUAUUAAUUUAGCGUGGUGGGAAACCAGGACCUUUACCUUGAAAAAAUUAGAGUGUUCAAAGCAGGCUUACGUCUGAAUACAUUAGCAUGGAAUAAUAGAAUAGGACGGUGGUCCUGUUUUGUUGGUUUCUGAAUCACCGUAAUGAUUAAUAGGGAUAGUUGGGGGCAUUAGUAUUCAAUUGUCAGAGGUGAAAUUCUUGGAUUUAUUGAAGACUAACUUCUGCGAAAGCAUUUGCCAAGGAUGUUUUCAUUAAUCAAGAACGAAAGUUAGGGGAUCGAAGACGAUCAGAUACCGUCAUAGUCUUAACCAUAAACUAUGCCGACUAGGGAUCGGACGAUGUUAAAUUUAUUGACUCGUUCGGCGCCUUACGG